rnacentral:rRNA from 1 species
AUUGAACGCUGGCGGAAUGCUUUACACAUGCAAGUCGAACGGCAGCACGGACUUCGGUCAGGUGGCGAGUGGCGAACGGGUGAGUAAUGUAUCGGAACGUGCCCAGUCGUGGGGGAUAACGCCGUGAAAAUUACACUCAUACCGCAUACGAUCUAUGGUUGAAAGCGGGGGAUCGCAAGACCUCGCGCGAUUGGAGCGGCCGAUAUCAGCUUAGGUAGUGGGUGGGGUAAAGGCCCACCAAGCCAACGAUCUCUGGCUGGUCUGAGAGGACGACCAGCAACACUGGAACUGGGACACGGUCCAGACUCCUACGGGGGGCGGCAGUGGGGAAUUUUGGACAAUGGGCGAAAUCCUGAUCCAGCCAUUCCGCGUGCAGAUGAAGGCCCUCGGGUUGUAAACUGCUUUUGUACAGAACGAAAAGGUUUCUACUAAUACUAGGAGCUCAUGACGGUACUGUAAGAAUAAGCACCGGCUAACUACGUGCCAGCCGCCGCAGUAA